UCCUUGGGCCCGUGAAUUCGAAGCAUUAGUUUUAGUGUAGAUUUGAUUUCGUAAAGAUUUUAGGUUUGAUAAUGAUUGGAACGAUUCCGUAAAGAUUUGGUUGUAAGAAUGGUUUAGUGACUAUUAUUAUGAUAUUGUGGACAAAUGUAUUUGGUGUGAAGAAUGAUUUGGCUUGUGAAUUUCAAUGUACUGCAUCAUUUUCAGUAUCCAUGUGUUGUAUGUUUUUCCUCAACAGAUGUACUUGAACUUCUCCCUGGGCUAUGGAUGAACUGCUUGUUUUUUUGUGUUGCUUAAUUUUGGGCCCGAACAUAUGAUCUUUGACUUGAACUUCUGCUUGAGAUCUGGCUGGGCUGCUGGUUUCAGAUGGAGAAGAUUUUCUGUGUUGUGUAAUGUAUUGUUAUUUUUCAACCCAACCAAUACGUAGCCUUUUGCAUAGAAUCUAUAUUUGUUUUUUUGUGAUUUUUCAACUGUGAAUGGAUUUCAACUAUAACAUUGUGCAAAAAUAUUCUCAUACACUCCUUUACGUUUCUUUAUGUUUUGUCGGCAUUGUACAUGAACUUAUGCACGUAUCCAAACAGAACUUCACAUCUGAACGUGUUGUCUUAGGCUUGCUAACCUUAGUUCAUACGGCAAAACUUUAUUUUUUAAGCAUAUUUUUUUCCUACAUCGAUUUUAUAUACCAGAACUUCUUCUGUAAGUUGGCCUGAACUUCAAACUGUAUAAUUAUUUGUUGGUUGCUCUUUUAUGGAAUACAACACCAGCACCUCCUGCCAUAAUAUACCAGAACUUCCACUGUAAUGUUACUUGAACUUCAUAGUGUAUAUUUUUAAUUUUUAUUCUUGCUUGCACUUUGCAUGGAAUACAUCACCAGCACAGCACUUCCUCUCAUAAUAUAGCAGGACUUCUGCAGUAAUAUUACUUGAACUUCACAGUGUAUAUUUUUCAUUUUAUUACUGCUUGCUCUUUCAUGCAAUACAUCACUAGCACAACACUUCCUGCCAUAAUAUAGCAGGACUUCUGCAGUAAUAUUACUUGAACUUCACAGUGUAUAUUUUUCAUUUUAUUACUGCUUGCUCUUUUAUACUUUACAUCACCAGCACCUCCUCUUACACUAUACUAGUACUUCUGCAGUAAGCUUACUUGAACUUCUACUGUAUAAUUUCUUUGAAACUUCAACAAUAAAAGUUCAAGUAAGCUUCUCCUAAAAUACUGUUUCAAAAGUGGAAUAAUAUUCUGCACAUUGACAUGACAUAAGUUUGCUUUGUUUAAUUGACCUAGUCUAACUGUUCAUCAGCCUUGCGCUCCUCCUAGGCUUUGGUUGUAGUGGUUUUUGAUUGACAUGUACCUCUUCCUCUUCAUCUUCCUCUUCCUCUUCAUCGUCUUCUUCCUCUUCAUCAUCCUCUUCCUCUUCCUCCUCGCAUUCCACUUCCUCUUCCUCUUCCUCUUCUUUGAUGGUGUCUUCAUCUUCGUCUUCCUCUUCAUCUUCCACCACUUUCUUGUUGCUGGCUCUAGGUUUUGCUUUCUGUUGCUUCUCUGGCUUUUUGCUUGUCUUUUCAGCAUCUGCGCGCUUCGGGCAUGUUCUUGCAUUAUGUGGUUCAUACUCCUUGCAUAUGCUACAAAAUCUGCUGCUUGCUUUCUGUGGGUGUGGUCCCUUGUUUUGUUCUACAACUUUGGGCUGCUGUUUUUGAACUUUGGGUUGCUUGACCUCCUCGGCAUUGUUUAUUUCUAGGAGUGUUGGACAUGUGAGCUUCUUGUGUCCUGCAACCUUUUUGCACACACUACAUUGCCUGUGUCCAAGUGGCACCCCGUUCUCAUCGAGCACGACGACUCUUCCUGCAGAGUAUAGCGGCAGUUUCAUCAUCUCUUGCUGCCGCUGCUGCAUUAAUUGGUGAACACCCUGCUUGCAUUGGUUGGCUUGAGCAACGGCGUGGAGCAUUUCAGCUGCAUAAUAAUGAAGGUCAUCUUCAAUUUCGGCAUCCUCUUCAGCCAUCCUUCCGUCAGCAUCUGCUCGAUUUGCUGAAUGUAUUGCAUCAAGCUCUUCCACGAGCCUCUUGAGAACAUAGAAGGCUCUGUCAUAUUGCUGAUCUCAUUGCUUUCUUGUUAACCAUCAAAUUGAGCUGCAGCAAGAUGUCUUGCUUCGAUAGUCUUGAGCUCCAUCCGAUGCAGUUGUGUUGUAGUCCCUUGUAUCAAAGGUUGGUUGUGAUUUUGCAGUCUUUGUGUACCGUUUGAGGAUAUACUUGUGUGGAAAUUUGU